UGGACAGCCAAGCUGGUGCUGGUGGCGGCUCUCGUGGCGGCGGCCUCUGCCCAAUUCGGGGGGACGGACCCGGGCGGUCUGCUCAACGACCCGGCUGCGCUCACCGAGAUCAUACAGUGCCUGCUGGCCAACUCGGACUCAGGUUGCUCGCUACAGGGACGUCUGCUCAAGAGCGUGCUGCCGCAGCUGCUGCAGUCCAACUGCGGCCAGUGCAGCGAGGCGCAGCGCCAGGACGUGGCCAACGUGCUGCGCCACCUGGUCAACGACAGGCCGGAGGAGUGGCAGCGGCUCGCCGCCAAGUACGACCCGGCGGGCACCCUGCGCACGCAGCACGGGGACGAGUGGCGCGCGCGCGGCGUCAACAUGUAGCCGCGACCCUAGCACGUUGAGGUUUCAUAGAAAAGCACCAUAGAAAUCACCAAUGAACUUACGGUCAACGCUCACAACACUAGAGUUUACCAAGUUGAAUCACACCAGCACCUCCGAAGCAUCUGACGUAAAGGAACGUUACUUCCUUCAAAGAAUGUAUGCUGCUGCCACUAUCUGGUACUCACCAAAUUGCACCUUCGCGUCAGGUACCUGAUGUAGCGACUGACAUGAAACUAGUGACAAUUACAUUAAAAUACGUCUAUGGACGCCAAAGAAAUCUGUUGUUACGUUUUUUGUUUGCACGCCAAGCACUGACGAAUGUUUUUACUGAAAUGCUGUACAACGACUGUAUUAUCUACGAAAUAAAUCUCGGGAUAAACUUCUGAUUCAAAUGGUGGCAACACAACGACUGUAAUUUCGUAGUUUCCGGCGAUAGAAGUGAAUCUUUGUGUACGAAAACAUCCAGCAACCCGAAACUGCAUAUACAGUUCUACUGCCACCUUCACUUCUACGACCAGCGAUUGAGUUCAGAAAGAUAUACUAACAGUUUGUCGACAUUGAAGUCUCACAUACCUUAAGGUAACAAAUGUUAUACCUGACACGAAAUUAACCUCAUUUCUAAUGCUAAUACUGUGAAUUGUGAAUAAAGGAAUAUUUCUCAAACUA